AAAGCGCAACAUCAUGGCGUGCUUUCUGCGCUUGAUAGAACUAUAGUCCUAUCAAGCGCAGAGAGCACGCCAUGACGUUGUGAUUU
rnacentral:pre_miRNA from 1 species